GACGAACGCUGGCGGCGUGCCUAAUACAUGCAAGUAGAACGCUGAAGAGAGGAGCUUACUCUUCUUGGAUGAGUUGCGAACGGGUGAGUAACGCGUAGGUAACCUGCCUUGUAGCGGGGGAUAACUAUUGGAAACGAUAGCUAAUACCGCAUAACAAUGGAUGCCACAUGUCAUUUAUUUGAAAGGGGCAAUUGCUCCACUACAAGAUGGACCUGCGUUGUCUUAGCUAGUAGGUGAGGUAAUGGCUCACCUAGGCGACGAUACAUAGCCGACCUGAGAGGGUGAUCGGCCACACUGGGAAGGAGACACGGCCCAGAGUCCUACGGGAGGCGGCAGUAGGGAAACUUCGGCAAUGGGGGCAAACCUGACCGAGAAAAGCCGCGUGAGUGAAGAAGGGGUUCGGAUCGUGAGGCUCUGUUGUAAGUGAAGAACGGGUGUGAGAGUGGAAAGUUCACACUGUGACGGUAGCUUACCAGAAAGGGACGGCUAACUACGUG
rnacentral:rRNA from 1 species